AUUGAACGCUGGCGGCAUGCCUUACACAUGCAAGUCGAACGGUAACAGGUCUUCGGAUGCUGACGAGUGGCGAACGGGUGAGUAAUACAUCGGAACGUGCCUAGUAGUGGGGGAUAACUACUCGAAAGAGUGGCUAAUACCGCAUGAGAUCUACGGAUGAAAGCAGGGGAUCGCAAGACCUUGUGCUACUAGAGCGGCCGAUGGCAGAUUAGGUAGUUGGUGGGAUAAAAGCUUACCAAGCCGACGAUCUGUAGCUGGUCUGAGAGGACGAUCAGCCACACUGGGACUGAGACACGGCCCAGACUCCUACGGGAGGCAGCAGUGGGGAAUUUUGGACAAUGGGCGCAGGCCUGAUCCAGCAAUGCCGCGUGCAGGAUGAAGGCCUUCGGGUUGUAAACUGCUUUUGUACGGAACGAAAAGCCCUGGGUUAAUACCCUGGGGUCAUGACGGUACCGUAAGAAUAAGCACCGGCUAAUUACGUGCCAGCCGCCGCGGUAAUAC
rnacentral:rRNA from 1 species